AGUGAACGCUGGCGGUAGGCCUAACACAUGCAAGUCGAACGGCAGCACAGUAAGAGCUUGCUCUUACGGGUGGCGAGUGGCGGACGGGUGAGGAAUACAUCGGAAUCUACUUUUUCGUGGGGGAUAACGUAGGGAAACUUACGCUAAUACCGCAUACGACCUACGGGUGAAAGCAGGGGAUCUUCGGACCUUGCGCGAUUGAAUGAGCCGAUGUCGGAUUAGCUAGUUGGCGGGGUAAAGGCCCACCAAGGCGACGAUCCGUAGCUGGUCUGAGAGGAUGAUCAGCCACACUGGAACUGAGACACGGUCCAGACUCCUACGGGAGGCAGCAGUGGGGAAUAUUGGACAAUGGGCGAAAGCCUGAUCCAACCAUACCGCGUGGGUGAAGAAGGCCUUCGGGUUGUAAAGCCCUUUUGUUGGGAAAGAAAAGCAGCAGGUUAAUACCCCGCUGUUCUGACGGUACCCAAAGAAUAAGCACCGGCUAACUUCGUG
rnacentral:rRNA from 1 species